AAAUCAAAUGAUGAGUAUGGAUUUAAUUUUUUCUCACGACGGUCGUCUGAGAUUCAAACUGUGAUGUAAAUAAUCCAAAUGCUUCUGAUGAUU